rnacentral:lncRNA from 1 species
CCCCCACUCAUUGUUGUUGUCAAUAAAUUUUCCCUCUCUCACGGUUGCUCUCAAUAGAUUUCCCCCUCUUUCAUUUUUGCUCUCAAUAAAUUUCCUCCUCUCUCAUUGUUGCGUACAAUUUCGACAGAUUAUAUGGAUAGAUACAACAGUGUGCCUCUUGUCUUGUGUCGUAACAAAAAAAACAAAGAAAAUGUAAGUUUUUUAAUCCUUGUAGUCUUGCACUUCCGAAAUACUAAUUGGGUUUUGAUAUUUAUAUGAAAUGUUGUUGUUGUUGUUGUUGUUACAAGGUUGGGUUUAGAGGGUUUUUAGAGGAUUAAGUGGUUGAUUUUGAAUUUAAGUGAAUCUCAACUUCUUAGAUUUUUUGUUAGGGUUUUAUAAUCGAGCCAAUUUGAGGUCCACCUGUGCCACCAGACCUUAUAGUACCUAUUCGAAAGAGUUUUGAUGCUAUUUCAAUCAGGUUUUGUUGGGUUCAAUUGGUGUGAAUGAAAAAUGGAGGGACACAACCUUUGAGAAAAAGAAAUAUUAUUUUGGAAAAGGAGUGACUGCUCAGAUAGUUGUGCCUGUUCAGAAAAAGACACAAUAUUUAGAAUGAAUAGACAUGACUCUUCCAAAGUAUACACUUUUUUGGAUGAACCAUUGCCACCUUUCUGAAGGGGCACUUGAUGGCUAUAUAAACCUGCAUUUAUCCAUAUGUGUAGGCAUGAAAAAUUUUCUGAAAUACAAACUCUUCUUGUUUUCAAAACAUUCCUUAUGAUCAAUCAAAUCAUUGAGUGAGUUCGACGAAUCCAAUUAUUUGAGGUACCACUAUAGUUGGAUUGAAAACCAUUUUAUCCUAGGAGGAAGAUUCCAAAACCUCGGGUACAGUGAGGGAAAUCAUUCCUUAAGGAAACUCCGUAAAGUCGGGGGACUUGGCUUUACAUUUUUGUUUCAUCUUAAUUUCUGAAAAAUAAAACACACUUCUUAGAAAGAUCACUUUGAUCUUGUGUUGAGGGUGCUUUUGUACUUCAUAGUGUUCUUGUUUUAAACUUGAACUAGUAUUGUAGUUACUGCGUCAAAUUACAGAUUAUUGUACUCGAAAAUACGGAAAGAUAACAAUAUUUAGGAAUAAAUUUGAAAAUUUUUUUGCUAUUUUGGUGAAAUUUUCUUUUCACUAAUUUUUUUCCAGAAUCUGUAUAGCUUAUUUUUGGAGAUUAAAAAUUUUAAGCUUUCUACUCCGAUUGAACUUAACUAGUGAUUUGAAGACAUAAAAUCUUCAUCACAAGUUAAAUAUCACUCGGUUGACGAUUGGAAGUAAUAAAAACUUCAUCGUUAAACUAAAAACAAGAAGUGUUUAAAGUUGCUGCAAUUUUUUAAUAAGUAUUUCAAUAUACUAAAGAUACUGUCUAGUGGUGAUAGGAAAAUGGCGACUG